CCGCCUCCCAGGAGGAGCUUGAUUUCUGGUCCUCAUACCAUGUGGUUGAGUGAAAUCAAAACUUCAACCAUAACAAUGCUGAUUGGACAAAGAAUGUGUUGUGGACACAAAAUCAAACCUCUGGAGGACAGAGGAUUCAUUCCAAGGUAGAAAUGGAUUCCCAGAAAUACCUUCUCAAGGCCAGUGUAGAGCCCUCAAUCACUCCCACCCCCAGCUUCUCCCUCUUCCAUCUCCUGCACCAAGCAGCAGGUCUCCAGGUGUUCCAGCUGCUGAUGAAGUACAGUGUGGAGUUGGUCCAGGAAGGUCAUGUUCCAUGCAGCAGAGGAGUGCUCCGUGUAAGAAGUUGAAGACCUGCUGCAGCACAUCAUAGAGGAAAGACAUAGCCUAGGCCUUCUGCAACUGGCUGACUUCCACCAUCUCCUGGGGGAAUCUGAAGUCACUUCUGUCCUUCAGACACAAGAAAGGAAAAAUUCUCCUCAUUCAGUCCAGAAGCACCAAGGUGUUUCUGCCUAGCAGACCACGGUUCUGAGGCAGAUUACAUCCUAGAGAUCCAAAAGAGCCAUAGCCGCACACCUCUAGGGCCACCAGUAGAGGGAAGAGGAGGGCCAUUGGGAAAUCAGGAUGCUUUUGGCCUGGCUGAACUGAGAUCUGGAUGAACCUUGGAUCCUCGAUUCCAUGAAGACAUUCUAUCUAUGCAUGGCUUUAAUGGAGCACAAAUGGUUUUCAUUUUUCUGAUCAUUUCUCUGAUUUUUUAAUUCCGCUUAUUGUUUUCAUUUACAUGUCUUCUAUAUCAGCAUCCACAACCUUUUGGCCACCAGUUUGGUGGAAGACAAUUUUUCCACGAAAAACGGGGUUGGGGAGAGCACAUUUUUAGAGGCAUUAGAUUCUCAUUAGGAGACCACAACCUAGAUCCCUCGCAUCUGCACUUCACAAUAGGGUUCCCACUCUUUUGAGAAUCUAAUGCCACUGCUGAUCUUACAGGAGGUGGAGCUCAGGUGUUAAUGCUUGUUGGUUGGCCUGCUUGCCUCCUGCUGUGCAGCACUGUUCCUACCAGGCCAGGACCAGUACCCUAGUCCACGGAUGGGGGUUGAAAACCUUGUUCUAUAUGACCUAAAAGGAGGUCAUUCACUCUACACUCUUGAUUUUUGCAACAGAUGUUCAAUAUUCCCAGUAAACUUAAGAUAUUUUCAAUCCAAAUGGAUAUUGAUCGAUCAGAUGAGAAACAUCUUUGUGUUAAUGUUAGAAGUAUAUACUUUUAGCCCCGAUCCUAGCCUCCAAUUCUACCCUCCAUUUUGCAUAGGAAAUCAGGAUCCCUGGGCCCUAUGGGUUUCUGUAUUCAGUUAGGGAAUUACCUAUCUCCGGAUAUUAAACACUUUAGGACUA